rnacentral:rRNA from 1 species
GAUGAACGCUGGCGGCGUGCCUAAUACAUGCAGGUCGAGCGAAUGGAUUAAGAGCUUGCUCUUAUGAAGUUAGCGGCGGACGGGUGAGUAACACGUGAGUAACCUGCCCAUAAGACUGGGAUAACUCCGGGAAACCGGGGCUAAUACCGGAUAACAUUUUGAACCGCAUGGUUCGAAAUUGAAAGGCGGCUUCGGCUGUCACUUAUGGAUGGACCCGCGUCGCAUUAGCUAGUUGGUGAGGUAACGGCUCACCAAGGCAACGAUGCGUAGCCGACCUGGGAGGGUGAGCGGCCACACUUGGACUGAGACACGGCCCAGACUCCUACGGGAGGCAGCAGUAGGGAAUCUUCCGCAAUGGACGAAAGUCUGACGGAGCAACGCCGCGUGAGUGAUGAAGGCUUUCGGGUCGUAAAACUCUGUUGUUAGGGAAGAACAAGUGCUAGUUGAAUAAGCUGACACCUUGACGGUACCUAACCAGAAAGCCACGGCUAACUACGUGCCAGCCGCCGCCGUAA